rnacentral:rRNA from 1 species
GACGAACGCUGGCGGCGUGCUUGACACAUGCAAGUCGAACGGUAAGGCCCUUCGGGGUACACGAGUGGCGAACGGGUGAGUAACACGUGGGUGAUCUGCCCUGCACUUCGGGAUAAGCCUGGGAAACUGGGUCUAAUACCGGAUAGGACUCCUGGCUUCAUGGUUGGGGGUGGAAAGCUUUUGGGGUGUGGGAUGGGCCCGCGGCCUAGCAGCUUGUUGGUGGGGUAAUGGCCUACCAAGGCGACGACGGGUAGUCGGCCUGAGAGGGUAACCGGUCACACUGGGACUGGGAUACGGCCCAGAAUCCUACGGGAGGCAGCAGGGGGGAAUAUUGCACAAUGGGCGCAAGCCUGAUGCAUCGACGCCGCGUGAGGGAUGACGGCCUUCGGGUUGUAAACCUCUUUCAGCUAUGACGAAGCGCAAGUGACGGUAGUAGCAGAAGAAGGACCGGCCAACUACGUGCCAGCCGCCGCAGUAA